UACGGAGGGUGCGAGCGUUGUCCGGAAUCAUUGGGCGUAAAGGGCGCGUAGGUGGCCCUCUAAGCGUGCGGUGAAAGCCUGGGGCUCAACCCCGGGUCGGCCGUGCGAACUGGGGGGCUUGAGCACUGUAGAGGCAGGCGGAAUUCCGGGUGUAGCGGUGGAAUGCGUAGAGAUCCGGAAGAACACCGGUGGCGAAGGCGGCCUGCUGGGCAGUUUGCUGACACUGAGGCGCGACAGCGUGGGGAGCAAACAGG
rnacentral:rRNA from 1 species